UACGUAGGGGGCAAGCGUUGUCCGGAAUUAUUGGGCGUAAAGAGCUCGUAGGCGGCUUAGCAAGUCGGGUGUGAAAACUUCAGGCUCAACCUGGAGAUGCCACUCGAUACUGCUAUAGCUAGAGUCCGGUAGGGGAUCACGGAAUUCCUGGUGUAGCGGUGAAAUGCGCAGAUAUCAGGAGGAACACCGGUGGCGAAGGCGACUCUCUAGUACGGUACUGACGCUGAGACGCGAAAGCGUGGGGAGCGAACAGG
rnacentral:rRNA from 1 species